rnacentral:rRNA from 1 species
UACGUAGGGUGCAAGCGUUGUCCGGAAUCAUUGGGCGUAAAGCGCGCGUAGGUGGCUUCGUAAGUCCGUUGUGAAAGUCAAAGGCUCAACCUUUGAAUGCCGAUGGAUACUGCGAAGCUAGAGUACGGAAGAGGCGAGUGGAAUUCCCGGUGUAGCGGUGAAAUGCGCAGAUAUCAGGAGGAACACCAAUGGCGAAGGCAGCUCGCUGGGACGGUACUGACGCUGAGGCGCGAAAGCGUGGGGAGCAAACAGG